rnacentral:misc_RNA from 1 species
GUUAAAAAACAUUAAACAUUGAAAUCAAGUCUAAAUUUUGAAUCCACCACUGCUAGAUGUUCUACCUUGCGUAGGUUGGAGCUUGCUCAGACUAGGACCAACCGAUCGGUCAAUUGUGUUUAAAAGACAAUUGAUAAUAAAGAUGAAAAGGUACAGAGCUGUACAUGCAUGAGUUGAUGAAUGAAUGCAUGUAUAUAUCUGAGCUUCUUUUACCUAACCAACUUUAACUUUUAAUUCCUAAAAACUCGACAUGUUAAAUCUUCUAAUGAAACUAUGCUCCUUGUUUUUACAUUAUUUUCUCCUCAAUAAAUCCAGAUCCACACUUCUAAUCUGCUGCUACCUGGAGACUCUCUUCUCAAGGACCUCGUUUCCUGAAGAAUAGGCAUCCCUUGCGUUGAUCUUUGAUCAUCCCACCGCCCUUUGAUGUGUCAAUUGUUUCCAACAAGGUUACCACUUCGUCCAUUUCUGGUCGUUUGUCAGGGCUAGCAUCCCAACACCGCUUCAUUACAUUUCCCAAAGAACUAGGGCAGCAACGAGGUAUCUCUGGCCUCAAAUUCUG